CUCUCUCUCUCUCUCUCUCUCUCUCUCUCUCACACACACACACACACACACACACACCACCCUCAACAGGCCCUCCUGAAAGCAAGAUCUCCUAUUGGCACUUUGGACCAAAGUUUUCCACCCCCCUUUCCUUUUAUCAUAACAAAGCUUCCAACUCAGACCACAAGAGAACUGGACUUUUCUCCCCCUGUUUCUGGCCUUCUCAUUCUUUCUCUCUCUUUCCUUGGCUCUGAAGAUGAUGGAGACUUUGUUGCAAGUAAGGAUGCCUUUAGGUCAAAUGGCCCAGGCCUAGCUGGGAGCUGAGAUUGAUCCUGGAAGGGAAAGCUGCUUCCUGAGCAUCUACUUUGCCCAAUGAAUCAUCUCAAAACUCAUGGCGCAGCAGCCAUAGCAUUGGCAGUUGCCUCGACUGCAAUGUGAAAGUGUUAUGCAAGGCCUCCUUUCUUUCCUGCAUCCUUUACGGACUUUUGGACCUAUUAGGAAUGCAAAAACCGGCUUGUUGCUGCACCGGAAGGAGUAAGAGAUAAAAGGAGAAUAGGCACAGAACCAUUUUGCUGGAAAAUCACCAGAAUGUGCUGAGCGUUUUCAAGGAUAUGAUGUCACAAAAUUGCAUGAGGGUAGACAUCAGAUGCCGUUACAAAAGAAGCAGAUGCAGCGCAGGCAAAUGGCGAUUUUAAAAUCCUGUACCAUCAAAAACCAUCUUGUUUACAAAAUCAUAGAUUUGGAAAAUCCCAUUCUCUCUCUCUCUCUCUCUCUCUCUCUCUCUCUCUCACACACACACACACACACACACACACACACACAGUUCUUUGCAGCACUUGAUGGAACUUUUAUGUUUUCCUUUAUUUUAUUUUUUUAAUUCCUUGGAAGUAUUGUAAAUUAACAGUUGUAUUUUACAUUUAAAAAAUAAUAAUUUGUGGGUAAACGUUUUAAAUGUGCUAUGAAUACCAUUUUACAUGCUGGUGCACAUGUGGGUCCUUUUGUAGAUGCACUUAGCAUAGUGGUUUGCCUGCAUAUGUAUCUUGUGAAAACCCCACUGCCCCAAUCUGGCAGAGGCAUUUUGAGAACAGAUAUGGGAUUCUGUACAUGGAUUGGUCCUCGGGAUCAGUUCCAUGAGCGUGCGCACAAAAGUACUGUGUAGUAAAAAUAAACAAAUCCUUGCAUUGAGAA